rnacentral:rRNA from 1 species
UGCCAGACUCCUACGGGAGGCAGCAGUGGGGAAUAUUGCGCAAUGGGGGAAACCCUGACGCAGCAACGCCGCGUGAGUGAAGAAGUAUCUCGGUAUGUAAAGCUCUAUCAGCGGGGAAGAAGGAAGACGGUACCCGACUAAGAAGCCCCGGCUAACUACGUGCCAGCAGCCGCGGUAAUACGUAGGGGGCGAGCGUUAUCCGGAUUUACUGGGUGUAAAGGGAGCGUAGACGGCGGCGCAAGUCUGAAGUGAAAGGCGGGGGCCCAACCCCCGGACUGCUCUGGAAACUGUAUGACUUGAGUGCAGGAGAGGUAAGCGGAAUUCCUAGUGUAGCGGUGAAAUGCGUAGAUAUUAGGAGGAACACCAGUGGCGAAGGCGGCUUACUGGACUGUAACUGACGUUGAGGCUCGAAAGCGUGGGGAGCAAACAGGAUUAGAUACCCGUGUAUA